rnacentral:rRNA from 1 species
AUUGAACGCUGGCGGCAUGCCUUACACAUGCAAGUCGAACGGCAGCAUGGGUGCUUGCACCUGAUGGCGAGUGGCGAACGGGUGAGUAAUGCAUCGGAACGUGCCCUGAAGUGGGGGAUAACGUAGCGAAAGUUACGCUAAUACCGCAUAUUCUGUGAGCAGGAAAGAGGGGGAUCGCAAGACCUCUUGCUUUGGGAGCGGCCGAUGUCGGAUUAGCUAGUUGGUGAGGUAAAGGCUCACCAAGGCGACGAUCCGUAGCGGGUCUGAGAGGAUGAUCCGCCACACUGGGACUGAGACACGGCCCAGACUCCUACGGGAGGCAGCAGUGGGGAAUUUUGGACAAUGGGCGCAAGCCUGAUCCAGCCAUGCCGCGUGAGUGAAGAAGGCCUUCGGGUUGUAAAGCUCUUUCGGUUGGGAAGAAAUUGCUUCGGAUAAUACCCGGAGUAGAUGACGGUACCAGCAUAAGAAGCACCGGCUAACUACGUG